rnacentral:rRNA from 1 species
GGCGAGUGGCGAACGGGUGAGUAAUACAUCGGAACGUGUCCUGGAGUGGGGGAUAGCCCGGCGAAAGCCGGAUUAAUACCGCAUACGCUCUGUGGAGGAAAGCGGGGGAUCUUUCGGGACCUCGCGCUCAAGGGGCGGCCGAUGGCAGAUUAGGUAGUUGGUGGGGUAAAGGCCUACCAAGCCGACGAUCUGUAGCUGGUCUGAGAGGACGACCAGCCACACUGGGACUGAGACACGGCCCAGACUCCUACGGGAGGCAGCAGUGGGGAAUUUUGGACAAUGGGCGCAAGCCUGAUCCAGCAAUGCCGCGUGUGUGAAGAAGGCCUUCGGGUUGUAAAGCACUUUUGUCCGGAAAGAAAACCUCUGGGUUAAUACCCUGGGGGGAUGACGGUACCGGAAGAAUAAGCACCGGCUAACUACGUGCCAGCAGCCGCGGUAAUACGUAGGGUGCGAGCGUUAAUCGGAAUUACUGGGCGUAAAGCGUGCGCAGGCGGUGAUGUAAGACCGAUGUGAAAUCCCCGGGCUUAACCUGGGAACUGCAUUGGUGACUGCAUCGCUCGAGUAUGGCAGAGGGGGGUAGAAUCCACGUGUAGCAGUGAAAUGCGUAGAGAUGUGGAGGAAUACCGAUGGCGAAGGCAGCCCCCUGGGUCAAUACUGACGCUCAUGCACGAAAGCGUGGGGA